GGUUAAGCGACUAAGCGUACACGGUGGAUGCCCUGGCAGUCAGAGGCGAUGAAGGACGUGCUAAUCUGCGAUAAGCGUCGGUAAGGUGAUAUGAACCGUUAUAACCGGCGAUUUCCGAAUGGGGAAACCCAGUGUGUUUCGACACACUAUCAUUAACUGAAUCCAUAGGUUAAUGAGGCGAACCGGGGGAACUGAAACAUCUAAGUACCCCGAGGAAAAGAAAUCAACCGAGAUUCCCCCAGUAGCGGCGAGCGAACGGGGAGCAGCCCAGAGCCUGAAUCAGUGUGUGUGUUAGUGGAAGCGUCUGGAAAGGCGCGCGAUACAGGGUGACAGCCCCGUACACAAAAAUGCACAUGCUGUGAGCUCGAUGAGUAGGGCGGGACACGUGGUAUCCUGUCUGAAUAUGGGGGGACCAUCCUCCAAGGCUAAAUACUCCUGACUGACCGAUAGUGAACCAGUACCGUGAGGGAAAGGCGAAAAGAACCCCGGCGAGGGGAGUGAAAAAGAACCUGAAACCGUGUACGUACAAGCAGUGGGAGCCUCUUUUAUGGGGUGACUGCGUACCUUUUGUAUAAUGGGUCAGCGACUUAUAUUCUGUAGCAAGGUUAACCGAAUAGGGGAGCCGAAGGGAAACCGAGUCUUAACUGGGCGUUAAGUUGCAGGGUAUAGACCCGAAACCCGGUGAUCUAGCCAUGGGCAGGUUGAAGGUUGGGUAACACUAACUGGAGGACCGAACCGACUAAUGUUGAAAAAUUAGCGGAUGACUUGUGGCUGGGGGUGAAAGGCCAAUCAAACCGGGAGAUAGCUGGUUCUCCCCGAAAGCUAUUUAGGUAGCGCCUCGUGAAUUCAUCUCCGGGGGUAGAGCACUGUUUCGGCAAGGGGGUCAUCCCGACUUACCAACCCGAUGCAAACUGCGAAUACCGGAGAAUGUUAUCACGGGAGACACACGGCGGGUGCUAACGUCCGUCGUGAAGAGGGAAACAACCCAGACCGCCAGCUAAGGUCCCAAAGUCAUGGUUAAGUGGGAAACGAUGUGGGAAGGCCCAGACAGCCAGGAUGUUGGCUUAGAAGCAGCCAUCAUUUAAAGAAAGCGUAAUAGCUCACUGGUCGAGUCGGCCUGCGCGGAAGAUGUAACGGGGCUAAACCAUGCACCGAAGCUGCGGCAGCGACGCUGAUGCGUUGUUGGGUAGGGGAGCGUUCUGUAAGCCUGCGAAGGUGUGCUGUGAGGCAUGCUGGAGGUAUCAGAAGUGCGAAUGCUGACAUAAGUAACGAUAAAGCGGGUGAAAAGCCCGCUCGCCGGAAGACCAAGGGUUCCUGUCCAACGUUAAUCGGGGCAGGGUGAGUCGACCCCUAAGGCGAGGCCGAAAGGCGUAGUCGAUGGGAAACAGGUUAAUAUUCCUGUACUUGGUGUUACUGCGAAGGGGGGACGGAGAAGGCUAUGUUGGCCGGGCGACGGUUGUCCCGGUUUAAGCGUGUAGGCUGGUUUUCCAGGCAAAUCCGGAAAAUCAAGGCUGAGGCGUGAUGACGAGGCACUACGGUGCUGAAGCAACAAAUGCCCUGCUUCCAGGAAAAGCCUCUAAGCAUCAGGUAACAUCAAAUCGUACCCCAAACCGACACAGGUGGUCAGGUAGAGAAUACCAAGGCGCUUGAGAGAACUCGGGUGAAGGAACUAGGCAAAAUGGUGCCGUAACUUCGGGAGAAGGCACGCUGAUAUGUAGGUGAAGUCCCUCGCGGAUGGAGCUGAAAUCAGUCGAAGAUACCAGCUGGCUGCAACUGUUUAUUAAAAACACAGCACUGUGCAAACACGAAAGUGGACGUAUACGGUGUGACGCCUGCCCGGUGCCGGAAGGUUAAUUGAUGGGGUCAGCGCAAGCGAAGCUCUUGAUCGAAGCCCCGGUAAACGGCGGCCGUAACUAUAACGGUCCUAAGGUAGCGAAAUUCCUUGUCGGGUAAGUUCCGACCUGCACGAAUGGCGUAAUGAUGGCCAGGCUGUCUCCACCCGAGACUCAGUGAAAUUGAACUCGCUGUGAAGAUGCAGUGUACCCGCGGCAAGACGGAAAGACCCCGUGAACCUUUACUAUAGCUUGACACUGAACAUUGAGCCUUGAUGUGUAGGAUAGGUGGGAGGCUUGGAAGUGUGGACGCCAGUCUGCAUGGAGCCGACCUUGAAAUACCACCCUUUAAUGUUUGAUGUUCUAACGUGGACCCGUGAUCCGGGUUGCGGACAGUGUCUGGUGGGUAGUUUGACUGGGGCGGUCUCCUCCUAAAGAGUAACGGAGGAGCACGAAGGUUGGCUAAUCCUGGUCGGACAUCAGGAGGUUAGUGCAAUGGCAUAAGCCAGCUUGACUGCGAGCGUGACGGCGCGAGCAGGUGCGAAAGCAGGUCAUAGUGAUCCGGUGGUUCUGAAUGGAAGGGCCAUCGCUCAACGGAUAAAAGGUACUCCGGGGAUAACAGGCUGAUACCGCCCAAGAGUUCAUAUCGACGGCGGUGUUUGGCACCUCGAUGUCGGCUCAUCACAUCCUGGGGCUGAAGUAGGUCCCAAGGGUAUGGCUGUUCGCCAUUUAAAGUGGUACGCGAGCUGGGUUUAGAACGUCGUGAGACAGUUCGGUCCCUAUCUGCCGUGGGCGCUGGAGAACUGAGGGGGGCUGCUCCUAGUACGAGAGGACCGGAGUGGACGCAUCACUGGUGUUCGGGUUGUCAUGCCAAUGGCACUGCCCGGUAGCUAAAUGCGGAAGAGAUAAGUGCUGAAAGCAUCUAAGCACGAAACUUGCCCCGAGAUGAGUUCUCCCUGACUCCUUGAGAGUCCUGAAGGAACGUUGAAGACGACGACGUUGAUAGGCCGGGUGUGUAAGCGCAGCGAUGCGUUGAGCUAACCGGUACUAAUGAACCGUGAGGCUUAACCUU
rnacentral:rRNA from 1 species